rnacentral:lncRNA from 1 species
AUGGGGAUGUGGGAGACGGAGGAUGCAACUCCAGUUUUGUUUUCUGUGUGUGUGGUUUUUUUAUGGGGGAUUAGCCCUUGUUCUGGGAAAGGCUGGGGUGGGAACAAUUGCAAAACUCCUCUGGACAGCCUGACUGAUGCCCAAUGGUCCCAUCUGGUCGGCUCUUGCUUGAGCCUGGGUUCACUUUGUUUGCUGUGCUGCCUGAAAGAAGCAAUUCUACAUGUGCAUGAGGUCCCGGAAGACCUUGAAUCUAGACUCCUGUACCCAGGCAGGACAGUAUGGAAGCCACACAAAGACUCUGACAAAUGCAGAAAGAGAUGUAAAGCGUUUCUGCCACUGCCUCUGUCCAGAGAGUCCCAGUGCCCUCAUGCCAGGAUUACAGGGGGCAGGAAAUCAACUGAGCCAGGACCCACAGCUGCCCAGCAGAACACAGCUCCUUAAAAAGCAGGUAUCAAAUCUGACCUUAUCUAUCCUUCAGGCUGUCCAACUCAUCUCUGCUCCCACUGCCUUAUCUCUCACUAUUCCCCAAACAGAGCUUCGAAUACUGAAUACUGACACGCCUGCUACUUUUCUCUCUGGUGCACAUAUUUUGCAUUCUUCCCAUUCUUAUCUUUGCUCUUCUUCUCUGUUGCAUACUUGGGAUGUUCUCUAUUACCAUCUGUGAAAGCUUCAGCAGACGCUAACUACUCAAAAUUAGUUUCCUUUUAAUUGUCUCUUCAGACGGUUAUUUUUGCUUGAAUUAUGGGAUACAUCCUUAUUGCAUUCUCAAUGCCCCAUGUUUAAGAACAAAGGGCUUGGCUCCAGUUAAAGGCAAGUUAGAAUCCUGGGUCUGUUUUCUCAUCUAUGUCUCACUUGUUUCACUCAUAAUAUAGAGAUUUCACAGUUAAUGUUGAGGGGAUUUCAUGGGAUAAGUUAAAUAAAAUGCUUGAUAUAUGAUGAUAAGUCCA